CAGUUCUAGCUGUCUAGUUUUGGCAAAGAACCCAUCCUGAUGUCCGGGUAACAGGAAUUUCUGCAGAGUGAUUGUCAAUGACAUUUUGUGAAAUUUACAAUUCUAGCUGUCUAGUUUUGGCAAAGAACCCAUCCUGAUGUCCGGGUAACAGGAAUUUCUGCAGAGUGAUUGUCAAUGACAUUUUGUGAAAUUUACAAUUCUAGCUGUCUAGUUUUGGCAAAGAACCCAUCCUGAUGUCCGGGUAACAGGAAUUUCUGCAGAGUGAUUGUCAAUGACAUUUUGUGAAAUUUACAAUUCUAGCUGUCUAGUUUUGGCAAAGAACCCAUCCUGAUGUCCGGGUAACAGGAAUUUCUGCAGAGUGAUUGUCAAUGACAUUUUGUGAAAUUUACAAGUAAUUAAAACACAGAUUUAGUAUAAUGACACAUAAUUGUUGUUUUAUUUGGUAUGAAACUGCUUGAAAAAGCCUUUGAAAAGUCUUUUUGUGGUCUUUUCAUGGUAUUUAACCAAACACUUCCAUAUAAGGAAAAAAACUAACUAAGAGUACACCAAGACUUUAGUUUCUAGAUGUACUUGCAAUAUUACUCAAAGCAAACACAGAAAACAAUUCAUAUUUAUUAAACAUAGUAUUUUACACCAUUC